GACAGAGGGUGCAAACGUUGCUCGGAAUUACUGGGCGUAAAGCGCGUGUAGGUGGAUUGGUGUGUCAGAUGUGAAAGCCCUGGGCUCAACCCAGGAACUGCACCUGAAACUACCAGUCUUGAGUGGUGGAGAGGGAAGUGGAAUUCCUGGUGUAGAGGUGAAAUGCGUAGAUAUCAGGAGGAACACCUGCGGUGUAGACGGCUUACUGGACCAUAACUGACGCUGAGGCACGAAAGCGUGGGUAGCAAACAGG
rnacentral:rRNA from 1 species